GUUGUGGCUCAAUGGUAGAGCAUUUGCCUCCUGUGUCUGAGGCCCUGGGUUCAAUCCUCAGCACCACA
rnacentral:tRNA from 1 species